rnacentral:rRNA from 1 species
UACGGAGGGUGCAAGCGUUGUCCGGAUUUAUUGGGUUUAAAGGGUGCGUAGGCGGUCUUUUAAGUCAGUGGUGAAAGCCUCCAGCUCAACUGGAGAAAUGCCAUUGAUACUGGAGACUUGAGUAUAGUUGAGGUAGGCGGAAUUGACAGUGUAGCGGUGAAAUGCAUAGAUAUUGUCAAGAACACCGAUUGCGAAGGCAGCUUACUAAACUAUAACUGACGCUGAGGCACGAAAGUGCGGGGAUCAAACAGGA